rnacentral:rRNA from 1 species
GACGAACGCUGGCGGCGUGCUUAACACAUGCAAGUCGAACGGAAAGGCCCUGCUUUUGUGGGGUGCUCGAGUGGCGAACGGGUGAGUAACACGUGAGUAACCUUCCCUUGACUUUGGGAUAACUUCAGGAAACUGGGGCUAAUACCGGAUAGGAGCUCCUGCUGCAUGGUGGGGGUUGGAAAGUUUCGGCGGUUGGGGAUGGACUCGCGGCUUAUCAGCUUGUUGGUGGGGUAGUGGCUUACCAAGGCUUUGACGGGUAGCCGGCCUGAGAGGGUGACCGGCGAAAUUGGGACUGCGAUACGGCCCAGACCCCUAAGGGAGGCAGCAGUGGGGAAUAUUGCACAAUGGGCGGAAGCCUGAUGAAGCAAUGCCGCGUGCGGGAUGACGGCCUUCGGGUUGUAAACCGCUUUCGCCUGUGACGAAGCGUGAGUGACGGUAAUGGGUAAAGAAGCACCGGCUAAAUACGUG